rnacentral:rRNA from 1 species
GAUGAACGCUGGCGGCGUGCCUAAUACAUGCAAGUCGAGCGAACAGACGAGGAUCUUGCUCCUCUGACGUUAGCGGCGGACGGGUGAGUAACACGUGGAUAACCUACCUAUAAGACUGGGAUAACUUCGGGAAACCGGAGCUAAUACCGGGUAAUAUAUUGAACCGCAUGGUUCAAUAGUGAAAGACGGUUUUGCUGUCACUUAUAGAUGGAUCCGCGCCGCAUUAGCUAGUUGGUAAGGUAACGGCUUACCAAGGCAACGAUGCGUAGCCGACCUGAGAGGGGGAAGGGCGACACUGGAACUGAGAGACGGUCCAGACUCCUACGGGAGGCAGCAGUAGGGAAUCGUCCGCAAUGGGCGAAAGCCUGACGGAGCAACGCCGGGUGGGUGAUGAAGGGCUUCGGAUCGGAAAACUCUGUUAUUAGUGAAGAACAAAUGUGUAAGUAACUAUGCACGUCUUGACGGUACCUAAUCAGAAAGCCACGGCUAACUACGUG